AUUGAACGCUGGCGGCAUGCCUUACACAUGCAAGUCGAACGGCAGCACGGGAGCAAUCCUGGUGGCGAGUGGCGAACGGGUGAGUAAUGUAUCGGAACGUACCUUUCAGUGGGGGAUAACGUAGCGAAAGUUACGCUAAUACCGCAUAUUCUGUGAGCAGGAAAGCAGGGGAUCGCAAGACCUUGCGCUGAUUGAGCGGCCGAUAUCAGAUUAGCUAGUUGGUGAGGUAAAGGCUCACCAAGGCGACGAUCUGUAGCGGGUCUGAGAGGAUGAUCCGCCACACUGGAACUGAGACACGGUCCAGACUCCUACGGGAGGCAGCAGUGGGGAAU
rnacentral:rRNA from 1 species